GAGAGCUGGACGGCCGCGGAGUCCUGAGAAAUCAGGGCGAUGAGGAAAGUCCGGGCUUCAUAGGGCGGGAUGCCGGCUAACAGCCGGGCGGGGAGACCCGACGGAUCAGUGCCACAGAAAAGAAGACUCCCUCAAAGCCUGGAUAGGCUGCGAGAGAAAAGCUGAAACGGUGCGGUAAGAGCGCACCAGCGUCAUGGCAACAUGGCGGCUUGGUAAACCCCAUCCGAAGCAAGGGCAAAUAGGAACGCAAUGGGCUGGCCCGGUUCGCGUUCGGGUUGCCUGCUCGAAACCGCUGGUAACGGUGGUUCUAGAUAAAUGGUCGUCUUAAAAGACAGAACCCGGCUUAUAGGCUCUCUU
rnacentral:RNase_P_RNA from 1 species